AGUGAACGCUGGCGGUAGGCCUAACACAUGCAAGUCGAACGGCAGCACAGUAAGAGCUUGCUCUUACGGGUGGCGAGUGGCGGACGGGUGAGGAAUACAUCGGAGUCUACUUUUUCGUGGGGGAUAACGUAGGGAAACUUACGCUAAUACCGCAUACGACCUACGGGUGAAAGCAGGGGAUCUUCGGACCUUGCGCGAUUGAAUGAGCCGAUGUCGGAUUAGCUAGUUGGCGGGGUAAAGGCCCACCAAGGCGACGAUCCGUAGCUGGUCUGAGAGGAUGAUCAGCCACACUGGAACUGAGACACGGUCCAGACUCCUACGGGAGGCAGCAGUGGGGAAUAUUGGACAAUGGGCGCAAGCCUAAUCCAGCCAUACCGCGUGGGUGAAGAAGGCCUUCGGGUUGUAAAGCCCUUUUGUUGGGAAAGAAAAGCAGCAGGUUAAUACCCCGCUGUUCUGACGGUACCCAAAGAAUAAGCACCGGCUAACUUCGUG
rnacentral:rRNA from 1 species